GGUUAAGCGACUAAGCGUACACGGUGGAUGCCCUGGCAGUCAGAGGCGAUGAAGGACGUGCUAAUCUGCGAAAAGCGUCGGUAAGGUGAUAUGAACCGUUAUAGCCGGCGAUGUCCGAAUGGGGAAACCCAGUGCAAUUCGUUGCACUAUCGUUAACUGAAUACAUAGGUUAACGAGGCGAACCGGGGGAACUGAAACAUCUAAGUACCCCGAGGAAAAGAAAUCAACCGAGAUUCCCCCAGUAGCGGCGAGCGAACGGGGAGCAGCCCAGAGUCUGAAUCAGCUUGUGUGUUAGUGGAACGGUCUGGAAAGUCCGACGGUACAGGGUGAUAGUCCCGUACACCAAAAUGCACAGGUUGUGAACUCGAAGAGUAGGGCGGGACACGUGGUAUCCUGUCUGAAUAUGGGGGGACCAUCCUCCAAGGCUAAAUACUCCUGACUGACCGAUAGUGAACCAGUACCGUGAGGGAAAGGCGAAAAGAACCCCGGCGAGGGGAGUGAAAAAGAACCUGAAACCGUGUACGUACAAGCAGUGGGAGCACCUUCGGGUGUGACUGCGUACCUUUUGUAUAAUGGGUCAGCGACUUAUAUUCUGUAGCAAGGUUAACCGUAUAGGGGAGCCGCAGGGAAACCGAGUCUUAACUGGGCGUUAAGUUGCAGGGUAUAGACCCGAAACCCGGUGAUCUAGCCAUGGGCAGGUUGAAGGUUGGGUAACACUAACUGGAGGACCGAACCGACUAAUGUUGAAAAAUUAGCGGAUGACUUGUGGCUGGGGGUGAAAGGCCAAUCAAACCGGGAGAUAGCUGGUUCUCCCCGAAAGCUAUUUAGGUAGCGCCUCGUGAACUCAUCUUCGGGGGUAGAGCACUGUUUCGGCUAGGGGGUCAUCCCGACUUACCAACCCGAUGCAAACUACGAAUACCGAAGAAUGUUAUCACGGGAGACACACGGCGGGUGCUAACGUCCGUCGUGAAGAGGGAAACAACCCAGACCGCCAGCUAAGGUCCCAAAGUCAUGGUUAAGUGGGAAACGAUGUGGGAAGGCACAGACAGCCAGGAUGUUGGCUUAGAAGCAGCCAUCAUUUAAAGAAAGCGUAAUAGCUCACUGGUCGAGUCGGCCUGCGCGGAAGAUGUAACGGGGCUAAACCAUGCACCGAAGCUGCGGCAGCGACACUAUGUGUUGUUGGGUAGGGGAGCGUUCUGUAAGCCUGCGAAGGUGACCUGUGAGGGUUGCUGGAGGUAUCAGAAGUGCGAAUGCUGACAUAAGUAACGAUAAAGCGGGUGAAAAGCCCGCUCGCCGGAAGACCAAGGGUUCCUGUCCAACGUUAAUCGGGGCAGGGUGAGUCGACCCCUAAGGCGAGGCCGAAAGGCGUAGUCGAUGGGAAACAGGUUAAUAUUCCUGUACUUGGUGUUACUGCGAAGGGGGGACGGAGAAGGCUAUGUUAGCCGGGCGACGGUUGUCCCGGUUUAAGCAUGUAGGCUGGUUGUCCAGGCAAAUCCGGAUAAUCAAGGCUGAGGUGUGAUGACGAGGUACUACGGUGCUGAAGUAACAAAUGCCCUGCUUCCAGGAAAAGCCUCUAAGCAUCAGGUAACAUCAAAUCGUACCCCAAACCGACACAGGUGGUCAGGUAGAGAAUACCAAGGCGCUUGAGAGAACUCGGGUGAAGGAACUAGGCAAAAUGGUGCCGUAACUUCGGGAGAAGGCACGCUGGUGUGUAGGUGAAGUCCCUGCGGAUGGAGCUGAGACCAGUCGAAGAUACCAGCUGGCUGCAACUGUUUAUUAAAAACACAGCACUGUGCAAACACGAAAGUGGACGUAUACGGUGUGACGCCUGCCCGGUGCCGGAAGGUUAAUUGAUGGGGUUAUCCGUAAGGAGAAGCUCUUGAUCGAAGCCCCGGUAAACGGCGGCCGUAACUAUAACGGUCCUAAGGUAGCGAAAUUCCUUGUCGGGUAAGUUCCGACCUGCACGAAUGGCGUAAUGAUGGCCAGGCUGUCUCCACCCGAGACUCAGUGAAAUUGAACUCGCUGUGAAGAUGCAGUGUACCCGCGGCAAGACGGAAAGACCCCGUGAACCUUUACUAUAGCUUGACACUGAACAUUGAGCCUUGAUGUGUAGGAUAGGUGGGAGGCUUUGAAGCGUGGACGCCAGUCUGCGUGGAGCCAACCUUGAAAUACCACCCUUUAAUGUUUGAUGUUCUAACGUUGGCCCCUGACCGGGGUUGCGGACAGUGUCUGGUGGGUAGUUUGACUGGGGCGGUCUCCUCCCAAAGCGUAACGGAGGAGCACGAAGGUUAGCUAAUCCUGGUCGGACAUCAGGAGGUUAGUGCAAUGGCAUAAGCUAGCUUGACUGCGAGCGUGACGGCGCGAGCAGGUGCGAAAGCAGGUCAUAGUGAUCCGGUGGUUCUGAAUGGAAGGGCCAUCGCUCAACGGAUAAAAGGUACUCCGGGGAUAACAGGCUGAUACCGCCCAAGAGUUCAUAUCGACGGCGGUGUUUGGCACCUCGAUGUCGGCUCAUCACAUCCUGGGGCUGAAGUAGGUCCCAAGGGUAUGGCUGUUCGCCAUUUAAAGUGGUACGCGAGCUGGGUUUAGAACGUCGUGAGACAGUUCGGUCCCUAUCUGCCGUGGGCGCUGGAGAAUUGAGGGGGGCUGCUCCUAGUACGAGAGGACCGGAGUGGACGCAUCACUGGUGUUCGGGUUGUCAUGCCAAUGGCACUGCCCGGUAGCUAAAUGCGGAAGAGAUAAGUGCUGAAAGCAUCUAAGCACGAAACUUGCCCCGAGAUGAGUUCUCCCUGAGACUUUAAGUCUCCUGAAGGAACGUUAAAGACGAUGACGUUGAUAGGCCGGGUGUGUAAGCGCAGCGAUGCGUUGAGCUAACCGGUACUAAUGAACCGUGAGGCUUAACCUU
rnacentral:rRNA from 1 species